CCUAAUGGAACACUUCUACAAUUAGACCGUUGCAUUAGUCUAAGAACCGUUGCUAUAGAGGUACAUAUAGUAACGAUUAUGUGAACCGUUGCGGUAGAUUUCUCUAUGGCAACGGUUCUAUCGAAAAAAAUAGCUAUUGCAACGGUUUAUUUUCUCCCAAUAUUUCCCUCCAAUAAUUUUAGUAGACCCGCCAAAGCUUCUUUUUUUUUAAUGAAAAAUUAAAUACGAAUGUCACUCUAUGUAAACACUUCAGUUUCUUUGGUGGAGGGUUUUCUUCUCCAAUAAGGAACUGAGGGUUUUCUUCUCCAGUAAUGAAGUAAGGAUUUUUUGCACCUGGUUCUACAACUAGUACAAGCAGUCAGUGGUUCAGCUGCUCCAGGGAUUCCCAACAAUAAUCGUUAUCUUUGAAAUAGAGUAAAAUUGGCAAUUUGCGCGUGAAUUUAGUUCAGUUAAAAAUUUGGCAGAGAAGGUCCAGUCUAAUAAUAUCCAGUUUAUUUUGUAUUGCUUGAGGGUUUGAACGUUUAUAGAAGUGCAGGUAAUCUACUAGUUAAAACUUCUCUUGCCUUGAUAUGUCAUAUUCUAAUGCCUUUAAGUCAGUUUGAAAAAAAAUAAAAAACGCAAUUUGAUAAUAUUAGAUUGCAGUGCCUUUGUAUUUCGAACAUGGUGUUUCAUCAGUUGAGAAAUUUUAUCCUAUACCGCAUAGUCUCUCUGUUUAUCCUGAUCCUCCACUAUUAGAUCCCAUGAUAUGAAGUAUACAUUAAGGUUGUUGUGUGAGUUCAAGGACCGUUGUCAUAUACUUUUUAGUAAUUAGUUACCGAGAACUGAGUUCUUGGAAUUUUGCACCCUUAACGUAUGUCCUCUUUUGGAAUUUGCACCCUAUCCUAUAUUUUUUUUAAUGACUUGCACCCUAAUCUCUUUAUUUCUUUGAAAAAUGAUAAAAUCCCUCUCUUUUUCAUUUUUCUUGAGGGGAAAAGAGUAAAGAUAUAAUUACUAUGUCCCAAAAUCUUUGAGAGUUGAAUAUUCUCGACCAAGGUUCAUAUUUGAUUGAAAAAAUAUGAAGCUGACUUCUCUCCAAUGAGCUGAGUUAUAUGAUAGUUCAUAAUUUUGAUCUUGAACAGCUUGUGUCAUAUAAAAUUCUCUAUUCAUAUGUUGACAAAGUGAUCUGAAAAUUCUAGAUAUGCCUUCUAGUAGUCACUACAUAUUGACAUCAAGCUCUAUUUUUGGUUCUUCACUAACAGAUGGCAUUCUAAUUUUUUAUCCGUUCUCUGUCCAGUGAUUUAGCUUACAAAUAAAGCGGAAAUUGUUCAGUAUAUAGCUGCCUCUGUGUGAUACAAACUUAAAUAAAAAAAGGCAUUUUAGUUGUGUUGUUCAAUCAAAUAAGGAGAUCCACUGACCAAAUUUCUAAGUUAUUGAUUGACGAUUACUUUAAAAAGGUUCCAGUAGCAACGUGUCUUAAAUUUCAUGUAGACUGAUGUGAUAUAUUUAAGAAAACCCACUACUAGAAAACUCCAUUAUAGAGGUCAACAAAAUUCUCAACCUUAAACUAGAGAAAUUCAAAGCCUAUUGAAUUUUAUUACUUGCGAAAAAGUGAAUAUUAUGUUAUUGCAUUCAGAUGUAACAAAUAAGAAUCUGUUUUCAAAUAAAAGUGAUUUUUUUUUUUUUACUUUGUUGUUUUUGUUAUCGUGUUUUUAUUUGCUAGGAGCCUUCCUCACUAAAAAAAUAAAGAGAUAUAACGAAGAUUACGCAAAACUGAUUUUUUUAAAAGUAAAGAUUGCAUACUCUUGUUUACGUCAAUGGUUUCGUUGGCUUUUGCUUAUGUCCAUCAAGAUGCCAUGUCGUUUGUAGGUAUUUAACUUUAAUGUAAAUGGAAGUGACUGAGAAGUGUAGUGUGACUGACUGAGUUAGAUGUUACUUUUGUAUAUUUCAGAACUUGUGCGGGCAUUUUCUAGAAAGGUGCUUGUUAUUGGUGCCUUUUGAAGAGUACUUGGAGCUUGAGUGGUGAAAUUGAACAAGGGGAUGAAAGAAGUGAAGAUACAUGAUCCACUAAGGAGGAUUGGGUUAAUUUUUUGGAAAAUUGAAAACUUGUGUGUUCCACCUCUUGAAUGGUCAAACAUUAUCUUGAUAUUUUGCUUUUAUGUAUAUUUCUUGACCUCUUGGAUUAUUAUUUUGGUAUGAUGUUGGAUCUUGUAUUAUUAUGUUGGUAUGAUGUCGGAUCUUGAAUUAUUAUUUUGGUAUAUAUGAUGUGGGAUCUUGGAUUA